rnacentral:rRNA from 1 species
UACGGGGGGGGCAAGCGUUGUUCGGAAUUACUGGGCGUAAAGCGCGUGUAGGCGGCAGCGUGUGUCGGGCGUGAAAUCCCACGGCUCAACCGUGGAAGUGCACCCGAAACUGCGCAGCUAGAGUCCUGGAGAGGAAGGUGGAAUUCCUGGUGUAGCGGUGAAAUGCGCAGAUAUCAGGAGGAACACCGGUGGCGAAGGCGGAUCUCUGGGCCAUUACUGACGCUGAGGAGCGAAAGCGUGGGGAGCGAACAGG